GGAAAAAUAGCUUAGUUGGUUAGAGUAAUAACUUGUCACGUUAUAAGUCACGGGUUCAAAUCCCGUUUUUUCCG
rnacentral:tRNA from 1 species